AAGCACACAUCAUGGAGUAUAUAUGAUUUCAUUUGAUCUUUACAGCAACCCUGUGGAUGAGUCUAUUAUCCCCAUUUUGUAAAAGAGGAACCGAGGCUAAGGAAAGUGAAGGAACUUGGAGCCUGUAGGUAUCAGAGGCAGGACUUCAUCUCCCCUCUCCUUGAAUCCAAGCCCAGCCCUCAGUGACACCCUGUACCACCCAAGGCUUCGGGUACCACCCAGCCAUGAGCUCCCAUGGCCGUCACCUGGAGGAGCAGGAAGGGCCUGGUCCUAGGGGCACAAACUCGAGAUUUGGCCCCCUCCAGUUACUGUGAAAUAUUUGGAUCUGUGCAGGUCCAGUGACAAAGGAGUUCUCUCUAGCAUGUUAUCAAUGCUUGGGAAUCAAGAAAUGCUUCCCAGGAAGACAAGCCUUUAUGGUAGUUUCUAGCUGUUGUUGGUCUUUUGUUUUCAAAGAAGACCCAUGAGGUGGUGGAUGAUGUCUUGAUUGGCUCAUGAAUUGGAUUGAGCACUUAGCUCAGGACCUGCCACAUAAUGAAUGGAGGUGAUUAAUAAAGGUUGAUUGGUGGAGAUUGGUGAGAUGGUGAACACUGACUACUCCAGGCACCGGAAAGGCUUUCUGUAGAAGGUGGCACAUGAACAGAACCUCAAAAGAAUCUAAGGAUUCUAGAGUCAGGGGGGGAGUAAGAGUAUAGGUUGGUUCUUCUGCUGUGAGAUGCUGCUAAGGCUGAUGACUUCAUGAUAUCCUUUCCUUGCUACAGCUCAUUUCUCCUUUGUUCCAGAAAGGGGUGCUGAUAGUGCCAUAUUUCCUUCACCCUCUCAAAUCGAGACCUUUUAGACUUUUGCCCUCUGGUUCUAAGAUAGUUGCAUCCUCCGCACUUUUCAGAUGAACUCUGUAGGGCAUGAACCAGUCUCUCUCAAAAUGACUUUGAUUCAAGUGAUGAUAUACAGGUCCUGUUCACAGUGGAUUCUGAUUCUUUGAGUCAACCAAAAACUGACUUUACCUAAGGAAAGGAUCAAUGGCAGAAGAUGCAAGGCAGUAGAAAAAUGGGAACAGAAAAUGUCAGGAAAUAACUGACAUAAAAACAAAAGGCAUUAAUAAAACUAAAAAAUAAGUAAAAGAAGUAUGUGGGACUCAUCCACAACCCUCUCCCAAA